rnacentral:lncRNA from 1 species
AUGAAGAAGUCGUGGAGUCACCUCUGCCUCCUCGUUCUAGCAAUGUCUUCUUUAUCCAGAGGACAAAGUGAAAGUGUUGAUCUACAAGAUAACAAGUCAAAUAUCACAACAAACACAGAUUCCCCUCCGACUCUGACGCCGACAGCUGCUGUGACUACAAAUGAAACUCUCGGCCAGGCGUCUGCCUCGAUUUCUCCUCAGACUAAUACACCAACGAUGGCACCAGAGAAACCUUCACCAACCAAUAUGACUGAAGAAGAAGACAAUCAUAGACCAACUAAUGGAUUUAAAGAGAACGGCACUGGCAUCCCAGCAGUACAGACGCCAGGCAGCGGGAGGGAGGGUGACGCUGUUGCUGUGACGACAACAGUCACUAUGGCGACGACGGGUACUUCACCAAAGCCAGUAAAAAUUGAAGACGGUGGUCAGUCGUCCUGGGGUUAUGUGAUCCUGGUGUUGAUCAUCCUGAUGAUCAUCGUUCUGUGCAUCAUCCUCUACUUACUCAGGAGAGCUGCCAGGACGUACUCCUUCGACCUGCAGCGUCCGCUUCCCGUCAACCAUCACAACGAACCCACCGGCACCUUUGAGCCGGUCUACCUGGACGACCUGGAGCGACCAGCUCCGAAAGACCAAGUGAACACAGACGACCUCUCGCCUCCUCCAGUCGCCAAUGGCACAACUUCAACACCAGAGGAGAAGGGACCCGACGGAGAGAGCGCUCCACAGGACCAGGAACAGUCCGAUGCUAACGGCCUGACUGGUGAGACUUCGCCCGCCAGUAACACCAGUCCUUCGCUGGGCGACGACCCCGCUGACAAGACGACCAGCCCGCUGAGCAGCACCGACCUGCUCUUCGACACUGUCGGGGAGGAGAUCGGAAACAACAACAACCCAUCGGUUUGCUCCAGCGACCCGUUCGUUGAGAUCAACCUGGAUGACCCGGCGUGGUGCGAUCAGCUCCUCUCCUCUCCCGAGGCUCCUUCGUCCGUCCUCCCCUUCACUCCUUUUUCCUUCUCCACCUCGUCUUCUUAG